CAGUCGCCGCGGUAAUACAGAGGGUGCAAGCGUUAAUCGGAAUUACUGGGCGUAAAGCGCGCGUAGGUGGUUCGCCAAGUUGGAUGUGAAAUCCCCGGGCUCAACCUGGGAACUGCAUCCAAAACUGGCGAGCUAGAGUAUGGUAGAGGGUGGUGGAAUUUCCUGUGUAGCGGUGAAAUGCGUAGAUAUAGGAAGGAACAUCAGUGGCGAAGGCGACCACCUGGACUGAUACUGACACUGAGGUGCGAAAGCGUGGGGAGCAAACAGGAUUAGAUACCCCUGUAGUCCCUGUCUCUUAUAC
rnacentral:rRNA from 1 species